rnacentral:misc_RNA from 1 species
GAUAAGAACGUAGCGAAAUGCGAUAAGUAAUGUGAAUUGCAGAAUUCAGUGAAUCAUCGAAUCUUUGAACGCACCUUGCGCCUUUUGGUAUUCCGAAAGGCACACCUGUUUGAGCGUCAUGAAUACCUCAAUCUCCAUCUUUUCUUCGGAUUGAUGGGUGACUUGGAUGUUGAGCCCUGCUGGUAUGCUAUAUCAGCUGGCUUUAAACUUAUUAGCCGGCUCUGUACUGGAUCGGUUUGACUCGACGUGAUAAUAUUAUCGUUGAGGAUGCAUGUCUCAUGCAGCCGGAAAGUAUCAAAGCAGCUUCUAGCUUGCCUUUAGUGCACUUUUACAUUUUAGACCUCAGAUCAGGUGGGACUACCCGCUGAACUUAAGCAUAUCAAUAAGCGGAGGA